rnacentral:misc_RNA from 1 species
GAGUAAAGAAUAGCAAAGGCAAUAAUCAAAGAGCUGCAAAGCUAGAAAACGGAAUGAGGAAAACAAAACUGAACCCCAACACCACCAAUUCCAACCCACCUAUUUAUAAAUAAACAAGACAGAUCCCAAAACCCCAACCUAGAUUUGCAAUCACCAUCUUCAUGGAAAUAUGUCAGCCCAGCCAUUCUCACUUGCAUUCCAGUUAUCUAUUCAAACUGAGAAAAGAUAUCACAAAGAUUCUGGACUCAUCGAGGGUCGGAUUCGCGAGGGCAUUUGAACAAAAUCUCGCUGGUACUGAAGAGAAUUUCUUGGUGUGAUGGACAUUUUGUUUAAUGCAGAAUCAAAUUCAUCAAGAUCAAAAUCUCUGUAGUCGUAGCUUCCUGCCAUUGCUUCAUCGUCCAUAAGGUUUUCCUCGAUUCUAUCUGGAAAAACCUCUGCAACAUCUUCAUCGCUGCUACCUCCAUUUUCUUCUUCAUCAUAGGUAGGUCUGACCAUCGACCAAUAAACAAAAUGUGGCCGUAGAUAUCUGUCACAUGUUUUCAAUAAGCAAGGAUCAAACGGAAAAAACAUGUCGAGCCUUUCUAUCCCACCAUAAGUUUUUGAAUAUUCAGACUCCAGCAAACCAUUAAAUAUAAAAGUCUCUGAUGGCGUAAAUAAAUUGGCAACUUUCGCCUGCCGAAGAAAUU